rnacentral:rRNA from 1 species
AGCAAAGCCGCGAGGUAGAGCAAAUCUCAAAAAAACAAUCUCAGUUCAGACUGCAGGCUGCAACUCGCCUGCACGAAGUCGGAAUUGCUAGUAAUCGUAGGUCAGCAUACUACGGUGAAUACGUUCCCGGGCCUUGUACACACCGCCCGUCAAACCAUGAGAGUUGGCAACACCCGAAGUCGGUAGUCUAACCGCAAGGAGGACGCCGCCGAAGGUGGGGUUGAUGAUUAGGGUUAAGUCGUAACAAGGUAUC